rnacentral:rRNA from 1 species
UGGGGAAUAUUGCACAAUGGGCGCAAGCAUGAUGCAGCAACGCCGCGUGAACGAUGAAGGUCUUCGGAGCGUAAAGUUCUGUUGCAGGGGAAGAUAAUGACGGUACCCUGUGAGGAAGCUCCGGCUAACUACGUGCCAGCAGCCGCGGUAAUACGUAGGGGGCUAGCGUUAUCCGGAUUUACUGGGCGUAAAGGGUGCGUAGGUGGUCUUUCAAGGCGGUGGUUAAAGGCUACGGCUCAACCGUAGUUAGCCUCCGAAACUGGAAAACUUGAGUGCAGGAGAGGAAAGUGGAAUUCCCAGUGUAGCGGUGAAAUGCGUAGAGAUUAGGAGGAACACCGGUGGCGAAAGCGGCUUUUUGGCCUGCAACUGACACUGAGGCGCGAAAGCGUGGGGAGCAAACAGG